AGUGAACGCUGGCGGCGUGCUUAACACAUGCAAGUCGAACGAGAACGGGUUAUAGCUUGCUAUAAUUGUCAGCUAAGUGGCGCACGGGUGAGUAAUGUAUAGGUAAUAUGCCUCUUACUAAGGGAUCACAAAUGGAAACGUUUGCUAAUACCUUAUACUCCUUAUUAACAGAAGUUAAUAAGGGAAAGAUUUAUUGGUAAGGGAUUAGCCUGCAUUGUAUCAGUUAGUUGGUGGGGUAAUGGCUUACCAAGACUAUGACACAUAACUGGUUUGGGAGGAUGUGCCGGCGCACUGGACCGGUGACACGGGCCAGACUCCUACGGGCGGGGGCCGUGGGGAAUCUUGCACAAGCGCCGAGAGUCUGAUGCAGCACCGCCGCGUGGAGGAUGAGACAUUUGGGUGCGUAAACUCCUUUUAUAUGAGAUAAUAAUGACGGUACUAUAUGAAUAAGCACCGGCUAACCCCGUGCCAGCCGCCGCAGUAA
rnacentral:rRNA from 1 species